CCCGCACCGGUCCGAGUUGCGGCCGCGUGGACUGCGAGGCGCGCCGCGCCGCGCCCUGGGAACGCCGCUCCCCGCGCGCCAAGGGACCCGGGGAAGCCCUUCUGGGGUCCGAGGCCGCGCUGCGGGGCCGCCCACGCUGCGCUCCAGGAGCAGAGCCCAGGCAGCCAGGCCUCACUGGCCACGAUGCCGGAGGCACCUGAUGUGCUGGAGGAGACCGUGACGGUGGAGGAGGACCCCGGCACACCCAC
rnacentral:sRNA from 1 species